GGCGCUGUGGCGGAGUGGUCUAACGCGAUGCAUUUAAGACUCCAGAGUGCUUCACUCUUUGCUUAAAUUCUGCAUUCUCGAGAGAGGCAUGGGUUCGAACCCCAUCAGCGUCA